rnacentral:rRNA from 1 species
GAUGAACGCUGGCGGCGUGCCUAAUACAUGCAAGUAGAACGCUGAAGGAGGAGCUUGCUCUUCUGGAUGAGUUGCGAACGGGUGAGUAACGCGUAGGUAACCUGCCUGGUAGCGGGGGAUAACUAUUGGAAACGAUAGCUAAUACCGCAUGACAACAGUUAUUGCAUGAUAACUGUUUAAAAGGGGCAACUGCUCCACUACCAGAUGGACCUGCGUUGUAUUAGCUAGUUGGUGAGGUAACGGCUCACCAAGGCGACGAUACAUAGCCGACCUGAGAGGGGGACCGCCACACUGGGACUGAGACACGGCCCAGACUCCUACGGGAGGCAGCAGUAGGGAAUCUUCGGAAAUGGACGGAAGUCUGACCGAGCAACGCCGCGUGAGUGAAGAAGGUUUUCGGAUCGUAAAGCUCUGUUGUAAGAGAAGAACGAGUGUGAGAGUGGAAAGUUCACACUGUGACGGUAGCUUACCAGAAAGGGACGGCUAACUACGUG